AUUCUGAUUGAUUUUUGCACACGGGUCACCCCUCUCCCCCAUCGCCCUAUCUCUUGCACAUAGUGGCGGCGGUCCAGAUCCGGUGGGACGUCGUCGACUUGCGCAGCGCAUUCCCGGUACUCCGGCUCGCAAGUCGUCUGGAUCAGCCUCCCUGACACCCACGACGUUGCUCUCCACAUCAACCCAGAAGCCGCCGUCCCAGCAGCCACUGCCAAGGUCCACUCCCCCGGGGCACCACCCGGCCUUCACCGCGCCGGACUACGGCGGGUUUGUGGCCGGCCGGAAGACCCAUAGCACGGACGUGCCCGAGAGGACGCAGCCUGACGGCCGCAGGUGCCAGGUCUUCUUCCUCGACCCCGACGGAGAGGGAUUCAUUCUCGGGUGAUGCUUAAUAUUGAAGCUCGUCGACUAGUAGUACUAAGUUUGUUCUCCGCUAUUUUGUUGCUGCAUCUUGAACUGAAAUGAAGGGAAGUAGUGAGACAUCGCCUUCAGGAGAGCCCAUAAUUGCAAAAUUUGUACCAACACUAUCAGCCGUGGAAUCUGUCAAUAGUGUUCAAAAUCAAGAUUUCAGCGAUGCUACCUCUUUUGCAGAGAUUAAUUCUCCAAUGGUUCUCAUUGAUGAUGCGAGUACACCGAAAAAGAAACAAGCUUGCUCUCAAUAUUGUUCUUCUCAAACCCAUGACUUCUUUUGAGUGAUUAAAUUGUCCAAGUGGCUUCUCUGUCCAUGACUUCUUUUGAGGGAUUAAUUUUUCUCUAAUUUUCCUUCCAUGUCGUAUGUGCAGCAAGCAAUCAAAUUGUAUUGUUUAUACUCAUAUUACCACAAAAUCAUCAUUUCUUUCUUAACAUUAAGGAAAUGUUAAGUCACAAGAUAUAAUUAGCAGGAAAUAACCAUUGGAGGGAGUAAAUGGCUUACUGUUUUGACCUACUUGCGCUUGAUUUGGGAUAGACGACCUUCGGUUGCUAACCAGCCAUUGAGCCAUAAAACUUAUAAUGUAAUAUCAAUACAUCAGUACAGCCGGUCGUAAGCUGUUUGCGUUACGCAAGUCUUCUUGGGAUGAUGAGCUAUGUAAAUUGAUAUAAAUGUUCAAUUAUUGUCAAGCUGUGAAUAUAUUUUGCUGUAUGAUAUUGUUUUCAUUUUCUCUUCACUGGUCUGACAUGUGCCUUUGUGCUGCAGCAUGAAGUUUUUUGCUGAGUGGUGUCUCUCCCAGAAUGGCUUACUGUUUUGACCUACUUGCUCAUCAAUUAUUGUCAAGCUGUGAAUCAUGUUUGCUGAGUGGUGUCUCUCCCAGAACAAGAAGCUUGAUGAGCAAGAAGUAGUAGAACUGGAGGGAAAUGCUAGAGCUUAUCAUUUUAAAUAGCAAUGCAUGUUGAGUGAUGAUCAUAUUAGUCCUUAAUACUUUGUCUUGCUGGCCAUGUACUAAAAAUAGUGCUACCAUGUCUCAUCAAGAUAUGUAUGCUUGUGAUAUGCUCAAUCUGGGAUUGUCCAGUCUGA